AUUGAACGCUGGCGGCAUGCCUUACACAUGCAAGUCGGACGAGUGGCGGACGGGUGAGUAACAUCUCGGAACGUACCGAGUAAUGGGGGAUAACUAAUAGAAAGAUUAGCUAAUACCGCAUAUUAUUCGAGCGGCCGAUAUCGGAGUAGCUGGUUGGUGGGGUAAAGGCCUACCAAGGCGACGAUCAGUAGCGGGUCUGAGAGGAUGAUCCGCCACACGGGUACUGAGACACGCCCCAGACUCCUACGGGAGGCAGCAGUGGGGCAUCUUGGACAAUGGGCGCAAGCCUGAUCCAGCCAUGCCGCGUGUCUGAAGAAGGCCUUCGGGUUGUAAAGGACUUUUGUCAGGGAAGCGGUACCUAAAGAAUAAGCACCGGCUAACUACGUGCCAGCAGCCGCGGUAAUUC
rnacentral:rRNA from 1 species